rnacentral:rRNA from 1 species
AUUGAACGCUGGCGGAAUGCUUUACACAUGCAAGUCGAACGAUGAACCUUAGCUUGCUAAGGGGAUUAGUGGCGAACGGGUGAGUAAUAUAUCGGAACGUGCCUUGUAAUGGGGGAUAACUAGUCGAAAGAUUAGCUAAUACCGCAUACGCCCUGAGGGGGAAAGUAGGGGAGCUUCGGACCUUACGUUAUAAGAGCGGCCGAUAUCUGAUUAGCUAGUUGGUGGGGUAAUGGCCUACCAAGGCGACGAUCAGUAGCUGGUCUGAGAGGACGACCAGCCACACUGGAACUGAGACACGGUCCAGACUCCUACGGGAGGCAGCAGUGGGGAAUUUUGGACAAUAGGCGCAAGCCUGGUCCAGCCAUUCCGCGUGAGUGAAGAAGGCCUUCGGGUUGUAAAGCUCUUUCGCAAGGGAAGAAAACUUACCAUCGAAUAAAUGGUGAGGCUGACGGUACCUUGAUAAGAAGCACCGGCUAACUACGUG